UCUACCCUUUUCCUCUCUUCUCUUUUCUCUUCGUCCGUUUGAACUCAUUAUUUACAAUCUUACAAAGAACAAAACAGAAAAUGAUUUUGAUGCAGCUGAUAUCAACACUCUUGAUAUGGGGUGAGUUUUCAACGUUGGAGCUCUGUCCUUCAAUAUAGUGAGAUUCUGACAGUAUGGGUAUUGAUAAGUUUUUUUCCUGCAACUCAUGGUCUUGAAUCCUAAAAAUGAGAAUGGGUUGGGUUCUUUCACUUUUGUAUUCUUCUCUUGUUUGGUCCUCAGCUUGAAUAAUGAUUUCGGAUGACUGUUUCUACAAGGCAAAUUUAUUUCUUCGUUUCUCUGUAAUUAUUUUUUUUCUGGAAUUUUUUGCUAAGCCUUCUUAUUGUAUAUGUCCCCUUUCUAUUCCUAUGUAACUAGUCUUCGAUUUAUGUUUUCGUUGGUGUUUGGUUUGAAGAAUUUAUAUGUUAGUUCUCCUAAUUAAUUUUCAGUUGUGAUUUGGACCUAGGAUUUUAUUCUCGGGUUGAAGACAGGAAAUUUGAAUGUUUAAAGGAAGCUUUGUGAUGAUUCCAGUAUUAAUGGUGAAGCUUAAGGUCAUUGAAACAGAGAUGGCUAGGCUAGUAAAUUAGCAGAUAUGCUAUUUGACCUUGAUUCGCCAUCCACGAUGAACGGAGAGCCUCCCCACCACGAUGAACGACGUCCAUGGCAAGAGCAUUCGUGCCUCCAUUUAUCUCUGCCUUGUUUUCUAAAAUCAGGUUCUAAAAAACUGAGGUAGUGGAAUUAGCAAGGAGCAUUAGAAAAGCUUGCUAUUGAUUGAAAGAGGUAUAAUUUUUUAUUCAUUUUAAUAUGAUACAAGUGUACGUUACAAGAGUUUCAAUAUCUUAAAUAUUCAUCCAUAGUGAAGUAGGUUCUGAGAUUAUAAUUGUGUGCAGCGGUGAUAACGGAAGGUUGAGAACUUGCAUGUCUUAGUGAAGUAGGUUCUGUGAUAUAUAUGAUUGUGUGUUGGGGGAGAUAUAAGGAAGAAAAUUGCAUGUUGUUUGAAUUGAUUCAAUUAUUUGAAGUGGUAUUGACAGAUGGUUAGGUUACAAAUAUAGGGAAAGUGUUGUCCGUUUUAAAUUUAGCAUGAUAACUAAAAAUAGUGGCAAUCGAUAAAGAUUGUUUUUUUUUUUGCUUGAAGACCUUAAAUACACUAACUAAAUCAUAAAAGAUAGUAUGAAUGAUUUAGAAACUGCUACAUUUCCAAAGUUUUGAAAAGUACCAACAAUAUUUUCACAUCUUUGUUUAAAAAAAAUGAAUAUGGUCAUGAUCUCUAACUACAUUUGUUGCCCCCAAAAGAAAAAAUGAAUACGAACUUUUUUUUAGAUUUGUUGAUUUUAGUAUAUAUAUUAUGUAUAUAUAUUUUUUGUUUGAUACUUUGCCUUUGAUUUUGUUAUGUUUAUUUAGAUUUAGAGUAUAUAUGUGUACUACUGUAAUUAAGUUCUUUUUUGUGAUUCAUUUUUUACAUUCAUUGAUUUUGCAGUAUAUAUAUAUCUAUAUAUAAAUAUGUUUUUGUUGAAUAUUUCUUUCUGGUAUUCUUAUGAUUAAUUAUAUUUAUGGUAUUCAUUUUUUUGCUAAUGAUGUUAAAAUAAUGAGUAUGCUUAUUAUGUUGGUGAUUAUAGGACUUAUUGUGCUCUUAUAUUUUUAAAGGCAUACAAAGUGUCAUAAAUGCCCAUAAUAAGUAUUUUUUUUUCUUUUUGAAAUCCUUAUGAUUAUUAAAUUGGGAAUAUUUUAUUGUUAAAUUGAGAAUUUUGUUAUAUUGUAAUUCACAACAUCAUUGGUCUCCCAACCAUCUCAAAUCUUGUCGGCAUUCUUACAAGGUUGGUUUUUGUUUAAUAAUUUCUAAGAGAGAUUAAUCAACUAAUUUUACAUAUUUUUAUUGUUGGUUCUCUCAUUCAUUCGUUAAUAUAUUAUGGUAAGAUAUACUAUUUAAUUAUAAUUUGAAAUCUUUAAUUCAUUGGUGCAGGGAAUAUCAUAGGACUUACUUUUAAGGUGGAUCCCUAGAUUUAUUAGGAAGAAUAUUGAGAAAAGAAACAUGAUUGAGUUUGCAGUGAUUUGAAGAAGAGAAUUAUGUUGUCUAGUUGAGAUUUGUUGUAUUAUUUAUUUUGAAAUUUAUGAAUUUAUAAUAUUAUAAUGAAUUUUUAUUGAGAAUUAUUUAGUCUCAUGGGGAUUUGAUGUAUUAUUUACAUUUCAAUCGUAUGAAUAAAUGUUGUAUGUAUAUGAAUUUUU